GAGUGAGUGAGUGAGUGAGUGAGUGAGUGAGUGAGUGAGUGAGUGAGUGAGUGAGUGAGUGAGUGAGUGAGUGAGUGAGUGAGUGAGUGAGUGAGUGAGUGAUGUCGGUGUGUGUGAGGCGCCUCCCUCCCUCCCUCCCUACACGUUGAUCUUAUUCGAUCGGCCGGGCCCCGCCGGGCCGAGGUGAGAAGAAAGCGCCGCGAAGCCCCCGGGCGCUGUGCGGCUGGGCCGGGCGGGAUGAGUCGAUCAGAUAGGCGAGGCCACGGCCGCUGAGCGCCCUGCGAUUCUGACCCGU